CAGCACCUCAAGUGGUCAGGAUGAUUAUUGGGCCUAAAGCAUCCGUAGCCGGCGCUGUAAGUUUUCGGUUAAAUCUGUACGCUCAACGUACAGGCUGCCGGGAAUACUGCAGCGCUAGGGAGUGGGAGAGGUAGACGGUACUCAGUAGGAAGGGGUAAAAUCCUUUGAUCUAUUGAUGACCACCUGUGGCGAAGGCGGCCUACCAGAACACGUCCGACGGUGAGGGAUGAAAGCUGGGGGAGCAAACCGGAUUAGAGACCCGUGUAGUCC
rnacentral:rRNA from 1 species